rnacentral:tRNA from 1 species
AUUCAGGUAGUUUAAAGAAAAAAAAUAUUGAUUUGUGGUAUCAAAGAAAUUAAUAAUAAUAUUCUGAAUUU